UCCUUGAUCUAGUCUCUUAUCGAACCACUCUAUUGAAUUUUUCAAUUCAGUUAUUGUGUUCUUCAGCUUUAUAAUUUUCAGUUUUCACUUUAAAAAUAUUUUCUAUCUCAUAGUUAAAAUCCUUUGUUCACACUUUGCUGUACUCUCAUCAAUAUCUUCAUAUGACAUCUAAAAGGAUCAAUGAAGGAAUGUAUGCCUAGACUAUAUCAAGCUUUUAAAAUAUAGUAUCAUACAAGUCAUAUGCAGUUUUUGCAUUUUUUCUAACACUGAAAUUUAUGAAAUAUAUAUACAUAAAUUCUUCUUAAGCACCAGUUGAUUUUUGUUUGUCACUGACUUAGUGAUUGACUCAAUUAAACAGAAUGUAUUCUGUUUAAUUUUCUAUAUAUGCAUUAUGUAUUCAUUCAUAACUAUCGUUUAGAGUUUAUUUUACACACUUUCUGGAAAGUAUUCUCAACUUUGUUUUCAAAUUUUGUGUUUUUUUUUUCCUACUGUGUUAGCUUUCAAUAUUUUUUCCUAACCUUUAAAUUUCUAUAUUUAUCUAUUUAUCUAUCUAAAUUAAUGUUUCAUAUAUUUAUAUUUUUGUUUAUAGAUAGGUGCAUAUCUGCAAUAGAAAUCAAAAGACUAGUUGUCAAAGGCCUAUUAUUGGUUCCAUCCUAGAGCAACCUUCCAGCAAAGCAUGGGCUACAUAAGCCAUGCACACAAGCUCUGUGAUACAAUAUUCUGUAGUGCUCACUUGGAAUAUGACCACAUAGUUUAAUAGGAAGAGAAUAAUUUUCAAUAAGGAAAGUGUGGAUGGCACAGCACAGAGAAUAUUUUAAAGUCAAUUUCUUAUAAAUAAUAUAAACAGUCUUAAAACAAGUAUUUUAUUUCACUUUCAGAAUACUCACACUUGGAAAUCUGGCUCAGUAAGAUUUUAUUAUUGUAACGUACAAAUCACCACUGAGUUUUCCCGUUUUUUAUUUUCAUUUUCUAAAUGAAAGUUUUUUGAUUACUCUCUUCCCUUUCACUACUCUGUAUUGAUUAGGAGUGUAUGUGGGGCUUGCAUUGAUGUCUAUUUAUUAAUAUUCAUAAGUUGUUUUAAUAAUGAACCAUGUCCACAGCUAUUGGAAAAUAUUGUGCAGACCCCAGAGUUCCCAAACAUUGAGCUAGACAUUAAGCUGGAUGCAUGCAUUGUAUGGGACUUUUGAAAGGUCUUCCUUGAUGAGGAUGGAGUGUGUUUCAUGUACAAAAGGAGCAGGCACAUGAAUACUUGAGUGGCCAGAGAGAGACUAUUGCCAAAUUAGUGACUGGUUUUCCUAGCCUUCCUUUAAGAUUCAUAUGGACAUGUGAGUAAAUGGGUGUUAACAAGAUCUGAACGGAAAGAUGAGUGUAACUUCAGGAUCAUUUUAUUGGAAACAAUACACUUGUCCUAUACUUUUGUUUUACUUUUUCCCUCCAUAGAAAUAUGGAUAUAAAAUUGAGCCCUAACACAAUGUAAAUGAAGACAAAAACCCUUGGAGUUUGGAGAGAGAAAAGGUAAAGAAACCUGGCCUCGAAUAAAGUCAGAAGUAGAACUAUUCUUUUCGCUCAGCACUGUCCAACUCUGUAAUGUUUUGUGGAAAAAAAAUCCAAACCACUAUACUUUUUGACUUUUUGUAAUGGCAGUUUGGUUGAUAUGCCAAUUAACAGAGAGUACAAUUCUAAAAAUCCUUUGGAAAACAGUUUGCAUUUUUCUCCUAAAAAUGAACCUGAAUAUAACCUAUUAGAAAAUCAGCACAAGGAGGCACAUACCAUAAUAUUUUUGGCAGUUUAUUCAUUUUUGUAAAACACAAACCAACAUAUCCAUU
rnacentral:lncRNA from 10 species